rnacentral:rRNA from 1 species
UACGGAGGGCGCAAUCGUUGUUCGGAAUCAUUGGGCGUAAAGCGCGUGUAGGCGGCUUGGCAUGUCGGAUGUGAAAUCACGGGGCUCAACCCCGGAACUGCACUCGAAACUGCCUCGCUAGAGUCCCGGAGAGGAGGGCGGAAUUCCCGGUGUAGAGGUGAAAUUCGUAGAUAUCGGGAGGAACACCAGUGGCGAAGGCGGCCCUCUGGACGGUGACUGACGCUGAGAUGCGAAAGCGUGGGGAGAAAACAGG